rnacentral:rRNA from 1 species
CCUACGGGAGGCAGCAGUGGGGAAUUUUGGACAAUGGGCGCAAGCCUGAUCCAGCAAUGCCGCGUGCAGGAAGAAGGCCUUCGGGUUGUAAACUGCUUUUGUACGGAACGAAAAGGCUCUGGUUAAUACCUGGGGCUCAUGACGGUACCGUAAGAAUAAGCACCGGCUAACUACGUGCCAGCAGCCGCGGUAAU